rnacentral:rRNA from 1 species
GACGAACGCUGGCGGCGUGCUUAACACAUGCAAGUCGAACGGAAAGGCCCGGCUUUGGUGCGGUGCGCGAGUGGCGAACGGGUGAGUAACACGUGAGUAACCUGCCACUGACUUUGGGAUAACUUCAGGAAACUGGGGCUAAUCCCGGAUAGGAGCUCCUGCUGCAUGGUGGGGGUUGGAAAGUUUCGGCGGUUGGGGAUGGACUGGCGGCUUAUCAGCUUGUUGGUGGGGUAGUGGAUUAGCAAGGCCUUGAAGGGUAGCCGGGCUGGGCGGGUGACCGGACCAAUUGCGACUGAGAUGAGGCCCAGACUACUACGGGAGGCAGAGGUGGGGAAUAUUGUAUAAUGGGAGGAGGCAUGAUGUAGCAACGCCGCGUGCGGGGAGAGGGCAUGGGGGUUGUAAACUGCUUUCGCCUGUGACGAGACGAGAGUGACGGUACUGGGUAAAGAAGCACCGGCUAACUACGUG